AUUGAACGCUGGCGGCGUGCUUAACACAUGCAAGUCGAUCGGUAACGCGGGGGCAACCCUGGCGACGAGAGGCGGACGGGUGAGGAACGCUUGGGAAUCUGCCUAUCAGCGGGGGACAACACGGGGAAACUCGUGCUAAUACCGCAUACGCUCUACGGAGGAAAGCCGGGGACCGCAAGGCCUGGCACUGAUAGAUGAGCCUAGGUCGGAUUAGCUAGUUGGUGAGGUAAAGGCUCACCAAGGCGACGAUCCGUAACUGGUCUGAGAGGAUGAUCAGUCACACUGGAACUGAGACACGGUCCAGACUCCUACGGGAGGCAGCAGUGGGGAAUAUUGGACAAUGGGCGAAAGCCUGAUCCAGCCAUGCCGCGUGUGUGAAGAAGGUCUUCGGAUUGUAAAGCACUUUAAGUUGGGAGGAAGGGCAGUAAGUUAAUACCUUGCUGUUUUGACGUUACCAACAGAAUAAGCACCGGCUAACUUCGUGCCAGCCGCCGCCGUAAAAC
rnacentral:rRNA from 1 species